rnacentral:ncRNA from 2 species
GAAAAAUUGUGGGAAUAAGGUGCAACAGCUGCGGCUGGAGCUUAAAAGGGAAGUUCGGUGCAAAACCGACGCGGUCCCGCCACUGUUACGGAUUAGCUGAAGCUACAAGGCCACUGAUCUCGCUUAGCGGGAUUGGGAAGGCAGCUUCCAGUACAAUUUCCGGUAGCCAGGAGACCUGCCUGUUCUGACAACACUGC